UACGAAGGGUGCAAGCGUUACUCGGAAUUACUGGGCGUAAAGCGUGCGUAGGUGGUGAGUUAAGUCUGUCGUGAAAGCCCCGGGCUCAACCUGGGAAUGGCGAUGGAUACUGGCUCGCUAGAGUGCGGUAGAGGAGCGUGGAAUUCCCGGUGUAGCAGUGAAAUGCGUAGAGAUCGGGAGGAACAUCAGUUGCGAAGGCGGCUCUCUGGACCAGCACUGACACUGAGGCACGAAAGCGUGGGGAGCAAACAGG
rnacentral:rRNA from 1 species